rnacentral:rRNA from 1 species
GAACGCUAGCGGCAGGCUUAACACAUGCAAGUCGAGGGGCAGCGGGGAGGAAGCUUGCUUUCUCCGCCGGCGACCGGCGCACGGGUGAGUAACACGUAUGCAACCUGCCCCUGUCAGGGGGACAACCCGCCGAAAGGCGGGCUAAACCCGCGUACAUGCCACCGGGGCAUCCCGGAGGCAGGAAAGGCUUCGGCCGGACAGGGAUGGGCAUGCGGCGCAUUAGGCAGUAGGCGGGGUAACGGCCCACCUAACCGACGAUGCGUAGGGGUUCUGAGAGGAAGGUCCCCCACACUGGUACUGAGACACGGACCAGACUCCUACGGGAGGCAGCAGUGAGGAAUAUUGGUCAAUGGUCGGGAGACUGAACCAGCCAAGCCGCGUGAGGGAUGAAGGUACAGAGUAUCGUAAACCUCUUUUGUCAGGGAACAAAGGCGGGGACGUGUCCCCGGAUGAGUGUACCUGAAGAAAAAGCAUCGGCUAACUCCGUGCCAGCAGCCGCGGUAAUACGGAGGAUGCGAGCGUUAUCCGGAUUUAUUGGGUUUAAAGGGUGCGCAGGCGGUCUGUUAAGUCAGCGGUCAAAGCCCGGGGCUCAACCCCGGCCCGCCGUUGAAACUGGCAGUCUCGAGUUGGAGAGAAGUAUGCGGAAUGCGCGGUGUAGCGGUGAAAUGCAUAGAUAUCGCGCAGAACUCCGAUUGCGAAGGCAGCAUGCCGGCUCCACACUGACGCUGAGGCACGAAAGCGUGGGUAUCGAACAGGAUUAGAUACCCUGGUAGUCCACGCAGUAAACGAUGAAUGCUGGCUGUCCGGGGGGGAUUGACCCCUGGGUGGCGAAGCGAAAGCGAUAAGCAUUCCACCUGGGGAGUACGCCGGCAACGGUGAAACUCAAAGGAAUUGACGGGGGCCCGCACAAGCGGAGGAACAUGUGGUUUAAUUCGAUGAUACGCGAGGAACCUUACCCGGGCUCAAACGGGGAGUGACUCAGGCAGAGACGCCUGUUUCCCACGGGACACUCCCCGAGGUGCUGCAUGGUUGUCGUCAGCUCGUGCCGUGAGGUGUCGGCUUAAGUGCCAUAACGAGCGCAACCCCCGCGUGCAGUUGCUAACAGAUAACGCUGAGGACUCUGCACGGACUGCCGGCGCAAGCCGCGAGGAAGGCGGGGAUGACGUCAAAUCAGCACGGCCCUUACAUCCGGGGCGACACACGUGUUACAAUGGGUGGUACAGCGGGAAGCCAGGCGGCGACGCCGAGCGGAACCCGAAAUCCACUCUCAGUUCGGAUCGGAGUCUGCAACCCGACUCCGUGAAGCUGGAUUCGCUAGUAAUCGCGCAUCAGCCAUGGCGCGGUGAAUACGUUCCCGGGCCUUGUACACACCGCCCGUCAAGCCAUGGGAGCCGAGGGCGCUUGAAGUGCGUCGCCGCGAGGCGCGCCCUAGAGCGAAAUCGGUGACU